rnacentral:rRNA from 1 species
GAUGAACGCUGGCGGCGUGCCUAAUACAUGCAAGUCGAGCGAACAGACGAGGAGCUUGCUCCUCUGACGUUAGCGGCGGACGGGUGAGUAACACGUGGAUAACCUACCUAUAAGACUGGGAUAACUUCGGGAAACCGGAGCUAAUACCGGAUAAUAUAUUGAACCGCAUGGUUCAAUAGUGAAAGACGGUUUUGCUGUCACUUAUAGAUGGAUCCGCGCCGCAUUAGCUAGUUGGUAAGGUAACGGCUUACCAAGGCAACGAUGCGUAGCCGACCGGAGGGGGUGAUCGCCCACACUGGAGCGGAGACACGGUCCAGACUCCUACGGGAGGCAGCAGUAGGGAAUCUUCCGCAAUGGGCGAAAGCCUGACGGAGCAACGCCGCGUGAGUGAUGAAGGUCUUCGGAUCGUAAAACUCUGUUAUUAGGGAAGAACAAAUGUGUAAGUAACUAUGCACGUAUUGACGGUACCUAAUCAGAAAGCCACGGCUAACUACGUG